rnacentral:rRNA from 1 species
GACGAACGCUGGCGGCGUGCUUAACACAUGCAAGUCGAACGGAAAGGCCCCUUUGGGGGUACUCGAGUGGCGAACGGGCGAGUAACACGUGAGUAACCUGCCUUCGACUUCGGGAUAACUUCAGGAAACUGGGGCUAAUACCGGAUAGGAAUCCUUGCUGCAUGGUGGGGGUUGGAAAGCUUCGGCGGGUUUGGAUGGACUCGCGGCUUAUCAGUUUGUUGGUGGGGUAGUGGCUUACCAAGGCUUUGACGGGUAGCCGGCCUGGGAGGGCGACCGGCCACAAUGGGGCUGGGAUACGGCCCAGACUCCUACGGGAGGCAGCAGGUGGGAAUAUUGCACAAUGGGCGGAAGCCUGAUGCAGCAACGCCGCGUGCGGGAUGACGGCCUUCGGGUUGUAAACCGCUUUCAGCAGGGGCGAAGCUUGUGGUGACGGUACCUGCAAAAGAAGCACCGGCUAACUACGUG